rnacentral:lncRNA from 1 species
CAAUGAAACAAAUGGAAAUAGCUUUAACAAAAAGAUGGGGUAUCCCAUUUCAUCUUCCUCAGCUAGUUUUCAACCUGCUAAACCCUGGGACAUUCAUGGUGAUCAGCUACACAACGGGCCUUCCUACAAUGGUGAUCCUGUCCAUGGGUACCUAGAUGAUAUGCUUAAUGAACAACAGAUGGAAGGAACAGAAGUAAACCCUCUUGAGUUUCUGGCUUCCCAGUUUGCAGGUUUUGCAGCUGAAAGUCUUGCAGAUGUUUAUUUUGCAAAUGGAG